rnacentral:rRNA from 1 species
UGAGAAUAAUGCCCGAUAGAACAUUAUACCUGGAAUGGUUUAUGUUCCAAAUGAUUUAUCGCCAUAGGAUGGGAGUGCGGCCUAUCAGUUUGUUGGUGAGGUAAUGGCCCACCAAGACUAUUACAGGUACGGGCUCUGAGAGGAGUAGCCCGGAGAUGGGUACUGAGACACGGACCCAGGCCCUAUGGGGCGCAGCAGGCGAGAAAACUUUGCAAUGUGCGAAAGCACGACAAGGUUAAUCCGAGUGAUUUGUGCUAAACGAAUCUUUUGUUAGUCCUAGAAACACUAACGAAUAAGGGGUGGGCAAGUUCUGGUGUCAGCCGCCGCGGUAAAACCAGCACCUCAAGUGGUCAGGAUGAUUAUUGGGCCUAAAGCAUCCGUAGCCGGCUCUGUAAGUUUUCGGUUAAAUCUGUACGCUCAACGUACAGGCUGCCGGGAAUACUGCAGAACUAGGGAGUGGGAGAGGUAGACGGUACUCGGUAGGAAGUGGUAAAAUGCUUUGAUCUAUCGAUGACCACCUGUGGCGGAGGCGGUCUACCAGAACACGUCCGACGGUGAGGGAUGAAAGCUGGGGGAGCAAACCGGAUUAGAUACCCGGGUAGUCCCAGCUGUAAACUAUGCAAACUCAGUGAUGCAUUGGCUUGCGGCCAAUGCAGUGCUGCAGGGAAGCCGUUAAGUUUGCCGCCUGGGAAGUACGUACGCAAGUAUGAAACUUA